AACACUUCCUUUGCUUUAUUGCUACAGUGCCCUCUCUCAUUUCAGUCCCACUCUCACUCUGCCUCUGCUCUGCCGUAAGGUAGCAUCAUCCCUUUCUUACUGCAGAUCUCGGAGCUACAUUUCGUCCCCCAUUAUCUCGUUCUGGCUGGCUGAGGGCUUCUAUCAGGUUUUUUGCACCAAAAUGUUGGACGGGGAGUUGUGGAAAAUCUAAUCCUUGGUGGAUCUCACUGGUUCCAGAGUACAAGCAAAAUUCAUAUUUAUUAACUAGCUGUUCUGAAAUGGGGAAAUCUCCGGGGAAAUGGAUCAAAACUUUGCUUUUUGGGAAGAAAGCAACUAGAUCCAACUUAUCCAAAGGAAGGGAGGCCUCGAUUAUUCCACUAACAACAACAACAACAAACCUUUGUCCCACAAACCUUCAGGCUACAUUUUCAGAUUUUCUAACUUGGUCAAUCAAAAUUUGCCGGUUCUUAAUGAAAUGCAGUCUUCAAAUCUCAUGUUAAGAUGGGUUUGUUAAGUGC